UACGUAGGGUGCAAGCGUUAAUCGGAAUUACUGGGCGUAAAGCGCGCGUAGGCGGCUUUGCAAGUCGGGUGUGAAAUCCCCAGGCUUAACCUGGGAACUGCAUUCGAGACUGCAUUGCUAGAGUAUGGGAGAGGGAAGUGGAAUUUCCGGUGUAGAGGUGAAAUUCGUAGAUAUCAAGCAGAACACCUGCGGCGAAGGCGGCCUUCUGGACGAUGACUGACGCUGAGACGCGAAAGCGUGGGGAGCAAACAGG
rnacentral:rRNA from 1 species